UUCUUGGCCGCAUGGCCGAGAAGGAAAAGACGCGUUCGCGUCGGUGUCGGAUGAGCCCGCGGCGCANNNNCUAGUUGGUGAGGUAACGGCCCACCAAGGCGACGAUGCGUAGCCGACCUGAGAGGGUGACCGGCCACACUGGGACUGAGACACGGCCCAGACUCCUACGGGAGGCAGCAGUAGGGAAUCUUCCACAAUGGGCGAAAGCCUGAUGGAGCAACGCCGCGUGAGUGAUGAAGGCCUUCGGGUUGUAAAACUCUGUCAUUCGGGACGAACCGGAGUCUGAGGAAAUGCAGACUCUCUGACGGUACCGGAGGAGGAAGCCCCGGCUAACUACGUGCCAGCAGCCGCGGUAAUACGUAGGGGGCAAGCGUUGUCCGGAUUCACUGGGCGUAAAGCGCGCGCAGGCGGUGAUGUAAGUCUGAGGUGAAAACCCGAAGCUCAACUUCGGGACUGCCUUGGAUACUGCGUCACUUGAGGAUAGGAGAGGCAAGGGGAAUUCCACGUGUAGCGGUGAAAUGCGUAGAGAUGUGGAGGAACACCUGUGGCGANNNCGCCUUGCUGGCCUAUUUCUGACGCUGAGGCGCG
rnacentral:rRNA from 1 species